AUUUCAUCUUCGUAGGACCCAUGUAGCGAGGACCCGAUGCCAGGUCCAGUGGACAGACUUCAAACGUCUCUGUGUGUCCCGUCCUGUCCGGUCCUGUCUCUGGUUGCCAGGUUACAGACGCUGCUGCACCCGCACGUUUAAAAAUGUCUACACCUGAAACUCCACCACGUCUAAAGAAGCAAAAACGUUUGCAAAUGUACAGACUGGAGUGGGAGGAGUGGAACCCCUGGCAAUGGAUACAAGGCAAACUGUGUUUUCUGUUGCUCAUGGACUGGCUGAAGUAAGGCAGCAUCAGGAGACAAACAUGGAGGAAAUAUGAGAACAGAGAGAACCCAACCAGCAGGUCACAGUUUAUCAUCAUCUAAUCAUCUCCUGAAGUCGAUAUGGUCCCUCUCUAUCUCCCCACACAUCCACCAACCACUGGAACACAUCUCCAAAGUUCUGCCGGGCCAGCUCAGCUUCCCCUCAGAAGAAGUGGCGCCACCUGCCAGAUGAAGGAGCCUUUUGAGAGGCAGCUGGCAUCGUGAUUGGACUGUACUUUGGCCUGUUCAUAUCCAGCUUCAGCUCCAGAGACGGCAGGCGGGACGAGUCAACGGAGGCCGGGUGGACGAAGGCAUGCAGCUGAGUACAAUCCAGAAAACAACAGAGGAGGAGUGCAGGGCCAGAACAAACAGAGUAGCAUCGUAUGUCUCUUAGAAAACAUCAUAGUAUAGCCUUUGGGAUGAAAAAACACCAUCAUAUACAUCGUAUAUUGUACAAAUAACAAGUCAAAGGAAAGAGGCAUACAUUGUAGAAUUGUAGUAAUUCUGGGCUGACUGAUUUACUGAUUAUCAGUAUUUUAUUUUUUACUGAUUUAUGGUAAUAAAUCAAUUUAAAAAUGG